rnacentral:lncRNA from 1 species
AGCGGAGCCAGCCAGGAUUGCCCUUCGCAGGAGAUACUCAACUUUCAGCCUCUGGGCCCUGUGGAUGUUAGAAGAAUGACAGGAGACAGACACUGUCUGAGGAGAAACCCAACUGCUUUUCCAUAUUGCAGCAACUACUCAACUGCCUCCAGAACUGUCUUUCACCAUCCAGCUUCCAAUUUAUUGUCUGGCCUUGUCGACUUCAGUGUGAUUUGAGCAUGCAGUCGAACUUAGAAACAUCAUUUUAUAUAUUUUUUUUCCCAGACUAAAGCCAAAUUUGAAAAAUACUAUAAUCAGUCUCUAUGAUUAAAUUGCUUUCAAAACUGACACUUGCUAAGAGCGAAGACAAUAUUCUGGUGCCAGUGCAUUUCUCCAGCGGAAAUAUGCAGACUUAGAUGUAAAG